rnacentral:rRNA from 1 species
UACGAAGGGGGGCUAGCGUUGUUCGGAAUUACUGGGCGUAAAGCGCACGUAGGCGGAUAUUUAAGUCAGGGGUGAAAUCCCAGAGCUCAACUCUGGAACUGCCUUUGAUACUGGGUAUCUUGAGUAUGGAAGAGGUAAGUGGAAUUGCGAGUGUAGAGGUGAAAUUCGUAGAUAUUCGCAGGAACACCAGUGGCGAAGGCGGCUUACUGGUCCAUUACUGACGCUGAGGUGCGAAAGCGUGGGGAGCAAACAGGG